rnacentral:lncRNA from 1 species
GCACUCGUGGGGGUGGGGGAGGAGCGGGGGUCGGUCCGGCUGGUUUGUGGGUGGGAGGCGCUUGUUCUCCAAAAACCGGCGCGAGCUGCAAUCCUGAGGGAGCUGCGGUGGAGGAGGUGGAGAGAAGGCCGCACCCUUCUGGGCAGGGGGAGGGGAGUGCCGCAAUACCUUUAUGGGAGUUCUCUGCUGCCUCCCGUCUUGUAAGGACCGCCCUGGGCCUGGAAGAAGCCCUCCCUCCUUUCCUCCUCGCGUGAUCUCGUCAUCGCCUCCAUGUCGAGUCGCUUCUCGAUUAUGGGCGGGAUUCUUUUGCCUAGGCUUAAGGGGCUAACUUGGUCCCUGGGCGUUGCCCUGCAGGGGAGUGAGCAGCUGUAAGAUUUGAGGGGCGACUCCGAUUAGUUUAUCUUCCCACGGACUAGAGUUGGUGUCGAGGUUAUUGUAAUAAGGGUGGGGUAGGGAAAUGGAGCUUAGUCAUUCACCUGGGGCUGAUUUUAUGCAACGAGACUGCGGAUUAUCACUACUUAUCAUUUUUGGAGCAUUUUUCUAGAGACAGACAUAAAGCAUGAUCACCUGAGUUUUAUACCAUUUGAGACCCUUGCUGCACCACCAAAGUGUAGCAUCAGGUUAAAUCUUAAUAGAAAAAUUUUAGCUUUUGCUUGAGAAACCAGUGCUUCCCUCCCUCACCCUCUCUCCCCAGGCUCUCUACCCCUUUGCAUCCCUACCAGGCAUCUUAGCAACUCUCACUCAUACUUGAUCCCAUUUUCCAUUUGUUGUACUUGCUCCUCUAGUAUUCAGACAUAGCACUAGCUUUCUCCCUCUCUUGAUCUUGGGUAGCCUGGUGUCUCGCGAAACCAGACAGAUUGGUUCCACCACAAAUUAAGGCUUGAGCUGGGGCUUGACUCUUACCCAGCAGUGCUUUUAUUCCUCCCUAGUUCACGUUCUUAAAUGUUUAUCUUGAUUUUCAUUUUAUCCUUUUUCCUUAGCUGGGAUUCUGUCCCUGACCGUCUUCACAGUCCAGGUGAUCUUGACUACUGCUUUACAGAGAAUUGGAUCUGAGGUGUGGAAACAGGAAGAGAACUAGAACUGGAAGUAAAGCAUUGAAGAUGUGACUGAAUUGCUGCAAUCUCAUGAUCAAAUUUGAAUGGAUGAGGAGUUGCUUUUUAGGGAUGAGCAAAGAAAGUGGUUUCUCGAGAUGGAAUCUACUGGUUGCUCCUUGAGGGCAGGACAGUUCUUAUGGCUUUAUCCGUUGCGUAAGCACAGAGAGGUCUGCGAGGUCAAAACUAUUGUCAUGAUAGCAAGAUGCCUGUCUUUUUCAUUUAUUCUCACGGUGUGCAGAGGCUACAUGAUGUGUGAUGACAUCCUCAUUGAUGUUAAUGAAUGGUGCUAUACUUGAAUUUUCUAAGGUGUCAUUAGGUAGGUUUAGGUAUGCAUACUUGUUUUUAGAAAUUAUUUUUUUCCUUUUUCCCAUUUUUAGAAAUCAACUCAUUUUUUAGGUUAUGCCUUCAGUAAUCUUUGCAACCUCAAUAUUGUGUAAUGGUUACUUUAAAAUACUGUAGUUUUCUUUGUGCCUAAGUAUAAACAUAAGUACAUUUUGUUGUUUUGUUUGCAAUAGUGGUUUAAAUAUUUUCCCAAAAUAUCCAAAUUUAAAAAUUCUACAACUUUAGAAUUUAAUAAAUUUAUUCUAAAAUAUUUAUAUAUUUUUUCAUUUAAGAAUGGAUCGGCUUAAAAAGACUGCUUCUCAUUUACUUACUGGCUAUACCAUCUGUAUACUAAUAAAAAACAAGAUUUGAUUUGGAAGGACUGACUCAAACUAACGAAAAUAUGAAACCUGUCUUUCUGCUUUGGAGAUAUUUACCUAAUCAUGUUCUGCAGUAGAAUAAUUUAGUUCUUUUGUCUUUUUUUGGAGAUGAGGUCUUGCUGUGUUGCCCAGGCUAUUCACAGCUGCCAUCAUAGUGAACUACAGCCUGAAACUCCUGGGUUCAAGAGAUCCUUCUGCCUCAGCCUCCUGAGUAGCUGGAACUAUAGGCAUGCGCCACCAAGCCUGGGCUUUUAAAAAAAUUUUAAAAAGAAUUUUGAGACAGGAUCUUGCCAUGUUGCUCAGGCUAGUCUUCAACUCCUAGCCCUGAGUGAUCUUGCUUUGGGCCUCUCAAAAUGUUGAGUUAAUAGGCGUGAGCCACCAUACCCAGCCAAAAAUUUUUUUAGAGAUGGGAAUGGAAUGAUCUUGAAUAGUGUUGGUGCCACCUAUGUUGUGGCAUCAUUUUGAAACCAAUCAUUCAGAGUGCUUUUUUUGGUAAGGCAUUAUUUUUUAAUGCAGGUAUGCCACUACUGGGAAAAAAAAAAAAACAGGUUUUAAAGCUAGAAAUGAAAAGCUACUUAAGUAUCUUAAAGGAUAAGUUACUUUAUUAUACACUAGAAACAUACACAAUAGCUGAAAAACUUAAAAAAUCUCACACUGCUGAAUGUCUCUGCUGGCUGAAGUGUAAGUAAAAGAUCAUAGUAGUGCCGCUGUUGAGUGAUAAAGCAACUUGUCAUUAAAGAUGUGUGUGCAGACAUGGAUUCUGAGUUAAUAUCUCAUCUGUAGAAGUAUAUAUUUGUCCCUUGCUUUGGGAUUGGUUUCUGGACAGCACUCCCCCACCCUUGCUGGCCAUUUGCCAAGGACACCAAAACCCAAGGAUGUUGAAUUCCCUUUUAUAAAAUGGCGCUGUAUCUGCAUACAACUUACACACAUCCUCCCAUAUACUUUAAAUCAUUUCCAGAUUUCUUAUACUUCAUACAAUGUGAAUGCUAUAUAAAUAGUUGUUACAUUGUGUACUUAUAUUUGUACUAUUGUAUUAAAUAUUCUCAAAUAUUUUCAAGCACAUUUGGUUGAAUCUGCAGAUGCAGAACCUGAGGAUAUGGAGGGCUGACUGUGCUAAUACGUUAUCAAUGGAUGCGUGCAUAAACAUGGCUGGACUUGUUACUUGGCUUGUAUUUGCCAGGCAUCAGCACCAACUAGUUAAAGAUACUCUUACGUGAAAGCUUGGCAACAAACACAUGUCCUGAAAUAAUGCAAGUGUAGAAUAACUUUUUAAAAUCUCAUGGUUUAUGCUAAACUAUAUGUUGACAUAAGAGUGGUGAUAAGGCAACAGUAGGUAAAAGUAAAAUUUCAGGCACCUUGGCACAAACUGUGGCAGUGGCAUCAAACUCUAAGUUAUUUUUCACUGCCAUGCAUUUGUGGUGUGAACCCCCACAAAAGAAAAAAACCAGUUUCACUCAAGAAUGUCCUUGUGAAAGCAGUGACAUUUUGUUAAAUCUUAAACCCUACAGUACAUAACUUUUUGAAAUGGUUGUCUCAAGAAAAAGCACUCAUGUAAGCUGAAUUAUCUGCUAUUUCCUUGGAGCCUAACAACUGACAGCAAUUGUUUUCAAUGAUAAAAUCCAAACGUUGAGUCAAAAUCAGAAUUUCGGGAAAACUUGUGUCUAAUAUCAGGAACUUGACAGCUUCCCAAUACUUCAUGAGAUAGUGAUAUUGAAAAUAAUUUUUUUUUUUUUUUGGGACAUCUGGCUGACUGCAACCUCUGUCUCCUGGGUUCAAGCAAUUCUCCUGCCUCAGCCUCCUGCAUAACUGGGACUACAGGGAAGCACCAUUUUCCACAAAACUCUCAAGAAGGACUUGUUGCAACUGGAAAAGCAAUUAAAUGUGAAUCGUGAUCCAGGAGAAAGUAACAACUCACAUAACUCCCAAAUUAAAAGUUUUCCAAAGAUAUAUCAUUUUUUUUCUCUUGGCCUUUUAAGAAACUAGCCAACAAAUACUCUUGACAGGUUUGUGUUUGGUUUUGAAAACACACACCUUAGUGUACUGAAAGAAAAACAAUUUCUUUUAAUUUGGUUUGUUGGUCCCACACCCCAUCUAUCAAUGUAUGUGCUAUUUACAAAUAAGUUCUAUACAGUAUUUUUGCAGUACCUUUGAUAAUUCCUAGACCUCUAUUUUCAUUCUGUGUAUUAAUGUGAAUAACAGAUGGAUAUUUUAAUAUUUAAGGCAGAUGGUAAACUUUCCUAUAGGUCUUGUGAGACUUCGUCUUAUAGGCUGAACACCAUUCACAAAAUGUAAUAAUGCUUCAUUCCUUCAGGUUGAGGUAAAGAACUUGAGCAACUGGAUUAGCAAAGCUGCAAAGAAUGAAAUGUGGCCUAAGAUGUAAUUAUGUUCUCUGCCCUUCCUUUGGGCCAGGGUAGUUUUGCACUUGACACAAUGGAAAAUAGGCCAUAAAGCCUGAAAAUAAAAUGUUCUAAACCCCAA